UUGCAAUCCCACUAUUGAUUUCUGCUGCGCCCCCAUUCACAUCAUAAGCCCAAUGUCAUCGUGUGUACAGUGAUGGGCCCAAUUGGGAAGAGAAGAAGAAAGAGCGUGGUUUUUUUGAGCGCCAUCUUCAUUCUUGAAUGUUGACGUUAUCCCCCUUUCUCUCCAUUUAUCUUCUUCAUUCUACUCCAAAUGCUACACACUCACCUUCUCUUCCCUUCACCACACUCCCAUGCAUCACCAUUUCUAUUCCCAUCUAGAACCAAUGCCCUUCGCUCUCGAACAUUCCCCGCCACUUCCAUAAGAGGAGAUUCUUCUUCUCUCAGGUUCCGCAGCCAUGGCUGCAGAAUCCGAAACUCGGCGGAGAAUGACGUCGUCAGCGAAACGGAGCAUAGUAAGCUACCGGUCACUAGGGCGUAUCCUUUCCACGAAAUCGAGCCCAAGUGACAGCGUUUUUGGGAGUACAAUCGCACUUUCCGAACCCCCGAUGACGAUAUCGACACGUCGAAACCUAAAUACUACGUUCUCGACAUGUUCCCUUAUCCUAGUGGAGCUGGGCUUCACGUUGGCCAUCCACUGGGAUAUACUGCCACAGACAUUCUUGCUAGAUACAAACGCAUGCAGGGAUAUAAUGUGUUGCAUCCGAUGAGGUGGGAUGCUUUUGGAUUGCCAGCAGAACAAUAUGCUAUUGAGACAGGAACUCACCCAAAGCUCAAUACGGUGAGGAACAUCAAUCGCUUUCGCACUCAGUUAAAAUCAUUAGGAUUUUCAUAUGACAGGGAUCGCGAAAUCUCUACCAUAGAACCUGACUAUUACAAAUAGACUCAAUGGAUCUUUCUACAACUUUUUAAAAGAGGAUUGGCAUAUCAGGCCGAAGUUCCAGUUAAUUGGUGCCCUGCACUUGGCACUGUGUUGGCCAUUGAGGAGGUGAUUGAUGGUGUCAGUGAAUGGGGCGGCCAUCCUGUAAUAAGAAAGCCAGUGAGGCAAUGGAUGCUUAAGAUUAUUGCAUAUGCUGACUGUCUUCUUGAGGACUUAGAUGACCUUGACUGGCCCGAAAGUGUAAAAGAAAUGCAGAGAAAUUGGAUAGGGAGGUCAGAAGGGGCAGAGAUGGAAUUUUGCAUUCUUGAUAGUGAUGUAAAGGAGAGAGACAAAAAAAUUAUUGUGUAUACUGCAAGACCUGAUACGAUCUUUGGUGCAACCUACCUAGUCAUGGCACCAGAGCAUCCCUUGUUGUCAUCAUUGGUUUCCAUUGCCCAGAGCAAACAUGUCGAGGAUUAUGUAGACUUUGCCUCAAGGAAGAGUGACCUUGAGAGGACUGAACUUCAAAAGACAAAGACUGGCGGGACUGAACUCCAAUUCGCUGGGUUGUAAUGCCAGAUGAUAAGAGUGUCAAGUCUGGAAAGGCUUUUUCAGGCAUUAUUGUAAAUUCAUCAAAUACACUGGCGGGGCUUGACAUUAAUAGCUUGUCUAGCAAAGAAGCUGCUCUAAAAGUCAUUGAGUGGGCAGGGAAAAGUGGAAAUGGAAAGAGGAAGGUGAACUACAAGUUAAGGGACUGGCUUUUUGCUCGGCAACGUUACUGGGGUGAACCUAUCCCUGUCAUCUUCAUGGAUGAUAAUGGUGAGACUGUCCCACUGUGUGACACUGAACUGCCCCUUACUCUACCUGAAUUGAAUGAUUUUUGUCCCUCUGGAACAGGGGAGCCUCCUCUGUCUAAGGCAGUGUCUUGGGUGAAGGCCACAGAUAGCUUAUCUGGAAGACCAGCUACUCGUGAAACAAAUACCAUGCCACAGUGGGCUGGUUCAUGCUGGUACUAUUUGAGAUUUAUGGACCCACAUAAUUCCAAGGAAUUGGUUGAUAAGACAAAAGAAAGGUAUUGGAGCCCUGUUGAUGUGUAUGUUGGGGGUGCUGAGCAUGCAGUUCUCCAUUUACUGUAUGCUAGGUUCUGGCACAAGGUUCUCUAUGACAUUGGUGUUGUAUCCACCAAGGAGCCCUUCCAAUAUGUCAUAAACCAGGGGAUUAUUCUUGGAGAGGUUCAAUAUAUGGCUUGUAGAGAUCAAGAUGGAAAUCUGAUAUCUGCUGAUUCAACUGGCAUGUUGAAUGAUCAUAAACUAGAAAUAAUUCCUGUGGAAAAGGUCAUGAAAUCUGGGGAUUCUUUUGUCCUGAAAGAACAUCCUGACAUACGUUUAAUUGCCCGUGCCCACAAAAUGAGUACAAGUAGUGGAAAUGUUGUUAAUCCAGAUGAUGUUGUCUCUGAGUAUGGUGCAGAUUCUCUUCGAUUAUACAAAAUGUUCAUGGGACCAUUGAGAGACUCGAAAAAAACUUGGAGGCUCAUUGUUGGUUCACCUUUGUCUGAUGGCACAUUUAAGGAUAGAACUGUAUCAGUUGAUGAGGAGCCUACUAUAGAACAACUUCGUUGUCAUCAUAAAUGCAUUGCUAAGGUAACAGAGGAAAUUGAGGGCACACGGUUCAACACUGGAAUUUCUGCAAUGAUGGAGUUCCUUAAUGUGACAUAUAAAUGUUUUAAAUUUAUAUGAUUCUAGCAACACUGGAAUUUCUGCAAUGUUUGAUAUGCUGGAUUUUAAGCAGGAGUAGAAAAGAAAAAUUACCUGAUGACAAUAAUACCCUUAUGUUGAAGUUAAUGGUGGUGGUAUGGUGUUUGAUAUACUGGCAAUGGUAUAAGCAGCAUGCCAAUUGGUAGUGGUGGCUGUAGCAAUGGUUGCAGGCCUGUGGCAGUGAAUGUAUGGUUCCAGGAAUGGCCUGAAAAUUUGAAAUGGCCAUUCCUUCCAAUUUGUAUUGAAUGAUGUUAUUUUGAGGGAAUGACUGAUUCCUUUUAGUAGUUACUAUUGUAAACAGUUGCAGCUCAUUUACAUUUCAUUUCCAUUCCUUUGAACAUGAUUCUAGCAAACCAAAUGUCACUUUUAAGAUUUGGGGCAUAGGAAUUGUUUGAUAGAAACUAAAUAAAUUGUUUAUAUAAACUCUUCCCACAAAUGGAAAAAAACUUUGAAACCCAGACCUAUUUAGAGCGACUAUGUCUACAAGUUUCUCUGGAUCUAUUUAUAGAAAACUAGUCUUUCCAGUCAGUAACCAUAACACAAGGAUCUUAAUUUUAGCUUUUACAAAAUUCCUGUAAAAGAGCUGCUAGAAUAGCAUUGCCUAGAAGGUCUAGUCUGGUGCUAAUUAGUUUAGUAGAUUAUAAUAAAGUACAAAAUUUGGAUAUUAUUUAUGUGCUUGGCUGCCUGCAAUGAUAAGCAAUAUCCUUUGUGAUGGUACAGGGCAUUCCUUUAUGAAGUGUAUUGUUUGUACGCAACAUAUCAAUAUCCUUUUUCUUUAUACCUCUGUUUCUCAUUUUCUUUUGUCAUUAAUAAGCGGUGAAAUUCCCCCACUCACUGUUACAGACAAUCAGUAUAAUCUAUAAUUUUCUUGGCAUAUAUUUUCAGUGGGAUAAACAUCCAAGAUCGGUUAUUGAGGCAUUUGCUUUGCUGCUUUCACCAUAUGCGCCACAUAUGGCUGAGGAGCUAUGGUCUUGGCUAGGGCACACAAAAUCAUUAGCCUACGAGCCUUUCCCUAAGGCAAAUCCUGCUUACCUGAAGGAUUCCACAGUAGUCCUUCCAGUUCAGAUUAAUGGCAAGACAAGAGGUACCAUCCAGGUUGAAGAAAACAUGUACAGAAGAGGAUGCUUUUGUACUAGCAUCUAGGGAUGAAAAACUAUCCAAGUAUUUGCAUGGUCAAUCUGUCAAAAAAAGAAUUUAUGUUCCUGGCAAGAUUUUGAACAUUGUUUUGGGCCGCAAAAACAUUAAGGUUGGUGUACAGUAGCUGCUUUCACUCUUGCGUCCAUUUCUACUGGAAGCAACUGUCAACCGUUAAAUUUAUGCUGUGCCUGGUCAACUUGGCAAUGACCCUGUAUCCGCUUCAAAACUAAAGCAUAUGUAAAGAGGUGCAUAUAUAACUAGCCAAGUAUUCACCUCUUAUGACUGUUAAUUUAUACUCCGCUUUAAGAGGUGCAUAUAUAACUUAAUAGAAGAGAGGCGGCGAGGCUUUCCAGCUUGCUUUCAUCAUUUCAUGCUCGAUGCCUAACCAAUUUAUUUAAAACACCAUCACAUAAACAGAGUGCAUUUUACCACUUAUAAUGGUUGUAUUUUAUUUACUGUAGUACACUGUAUCUGGUUAUGGAAUAUGGACCAUCUUGUUGUUUAUAAUGGUGAUUCUGUUUUUUUA